AACGAACGCUGGCGGCAUGCCUAACACAUGCAAGUCGAACGAGACCUUCGGGUCUAGUGGCGCACGGGUGCGUAACGCGUGGGAACCUGCCCUUAGGUUCGGUAUAACUCCCCGAAAGGGGUGCUAAUACCGGAUAAUGUCUUCGGACCAAAGAUUUAUCGCCUUUGGAUGGGCCCGCGUUGGAUUAGCUAGUUGGUAGGGUAAAAGCCUACCAAGGCGACGACCCAUAGCUGGUCUGAGAGGAUGAUCAGCCACACUGGGACUGAGACACGGCCCAGACUCCUACGGGAGGCAGCAGUGGGGAAUAUUGGACAAUGGGCGAAAGCCUGAUCCAGCAAUGCCGCGUGAGUGAUGAAGGCCUUAGGGUUGUAAAGCUCUUUUACCCGGGAUGAUAAUGACAGUACCGGGAGAAUAAGCUCCGGCUAACUCCGUG
rnacentral:rRNA from 1 species